AAUCAACGCUGGCGGCGUGCCUCAGACAUGCAAGUCGAACGAUUAAAGCUCUCUUCGGAGAGUGCAUAGAGUGGCGCACGGGUGAGUAACGCGUAAGUAAUCUACCUUCGAGUGGGGAAUAACGUCCGGAAACGGACGCUAAUACCGCAUAAUGCAGCGGCAUCGUAAGAUGACAGUUGUUAAAGAUUUAUCGCUUGAAGAGGAGCUUGCGGCAGAUUAGCUAGUUGGUAAGGUAAUGGCUUACCAAGGCUACGAUCUGUAACCGGUCUUAGAGGACGGUCGGUCACACUGACACCGAAUAACGGGUCAGACUCCUACGGGAGGCAGCAGUCGGGAAUUUUGGGCAAUGGGCGAAAGCCUGACCCAGCAACGCCGCGUGAAGGAUGAAGUAUUUCGGUAUGUAAACUUCGAAGAAUAGGAAGAAUAAAUGACGGUACUAUUUAUAAGGUCCGGCUAACUACGUGCCAGCAGCCGCGGU
rnacentral:rRNA from 1 species